GGAUGUGAGGGCUAUCUGGCUGCGACAUCUGUCACCCCAUUGAUCGCCAGGGUUGAUUCGGCAGAUCUGGCUGGAUAGGCGGGUGUCCCCUUCCUCCCUCACCACUCCAUGUGCGUCCCUCCUGAAGAUGUGCACUUGUAGAAGAGGAUAGCCUUCCCCGAAUAGAGACGGACCGGUCUUCGGUCGAAGGUAUACGAGUAGCUGCGCUCCCCUGCUAGAAACUCCAAACAAGCUCUCAAAGUUCUAACAUCGGAAAAUUUGAUAAUAUGUUUUUUGAGUGACAAUAGCAGUGCUCAGGGAUUAUUCCUGGCUCAGUGC
rnacentral:snRNA from 1 species